UACAGAGGUCCCAAGCGUUGUUCGGAUUCACUGGGCGUAAAGGGUGCGUAGGCGGCCGGGUAAGUCUGAUGUGAAAUCUCACAGCUUAACUGUGAAACUGCAUUGGAUACUAUCCGGCUCGAGGAAUGGAGGGGAGACUGGAAUACUUGGUGUAGCAGUGAAAUGCGUAGAUAUCAAGUGGAACACCAGUGGCGAAGGCAGUGUCCUGGGGAGUACCUGACGCUCAGGUGCGAAAGCCAGGGGAGCGAACGGG
rnacentral:rRNA from 1 species